rnacentral:rRNA from 1 species
GGGUUUGACUAGGCCAUGCGAGUCGAGAGGUUCAAGACCUCGGCGUACUGCUCAGUAACACGUGGACAAUCUGCCCUGAAGUGGAGGAUAAUCCCGGGAAACUGGGGGUAAUACUCCAUAGUUCGUGCUGACUGGAAUGUUAUGCGAACGAAAGAUCCGUCGCUUCAGGAUGAGUCUGCGGCCGAUUAGGUAGUUGUUGGGGUAACGGCCCAACAAGCCUGUCAUCGGUACGGGUUGUGGGAGCAAGAGCCCGGAGAUGGAUUCUGAGACACGAAUCCAGGCCCUACGGGGCGCAGCAGGCGCGAAAACUUUACCACGCGGGCAACCGUGAUAAGGAAACCCCGAGUGCCAGCACAGGCUGCUGUCCGCCAGUGUAAAUAACUGGUGAAGAAAGGGCCGGGCAAGACCGGUGCCAGCCGCCGCGGUAAUACCGGCGGCUCGAGUGGUGGCCGCUAUUACUGGGCUUAAAGGGUCCGUAGCUGGAUGUACAAGUCCCUUGAGAAA